GCAGUUGCGUCACUUUAGUUUUGCAAUUUGAGACUCUCCUGGCUCGGUAUCCGUGGUCUCGUUUUGGACUCCUGGGGUUGGCACCGCAUCUGCUAUCCCAAAAGGAAGCUUGUGGAGGUUAUUUUCCACCAUAUAAAGGAGGAAACCAAGAAAAAGAAAGACAUGGUCCAGGAAACAGAGAAUCUAACACAGAAGAGAGGGAAUGGGGAUUCCCAAGAUACCGUCUGGGUGGCAGGUCUAAACAGCCUGAAGCAGAAGAAUGGAAGGUAUCAGGAAGACUAGCACCCAAAAAUUAAUUUUAUGGGUUUAGACCAGUGGUUUCUUUGAGGAGAAAAGAAAGGUGUGGCGGUAUAUCCAUUUUUGCACCCAAACACUUCUCCAUUUCUGGGGGAAUACUUCAUGUUAUCAAACUUGGUGAGGCAACACGAUUCUUCCCCUGCCUGGCUAAAUCAGCACACGUCAGACCAUGGCUCAACCGAUCAAAUGCUUUCACUUGGCAUUUUGAAACUCAAGUAAUUGUCCUAAAGAUGCAGGUGCAACUGGAACAAUAUCCAUUGUGUAGUGAUGAGUGCCCAGAGUUGAUGGCAUCAGCAGUGGACAUUUCCAGGGACGAGACCUGAGCUGCAUUUUCGUUUGGCGGUCCCUCAUAGAUAACUGCUUUCUGAGUUACGUUCUCCAGCUUUCCUUCAACUCUGUGAGUCCCUACCAUGCCUCUAGUAUACGCCUUUUCUGCUUAAAGUGUCCAGAGUGGAUAUGUUUCCUUCCGAGAACUGACAGUGAACAACUAAGAAGAAAGUACCUCUAACCCCGUAGAAAGGGGAUUACACAAUAAUGCAAGCAACAGGUUAACAAUACUCUUCAGAUCAGGCAGAACUAUCCCUUCAAAUUGUAGGAAAGCUUCCGAUAGAAAUUAUGUCUAGAAAAAGUGGGUAGGUAUUUUCAAAAGAUAUCUCUUUCAUGAUGUACAAAGAAAUUUUCUUUCUCUGACAGCUGUGUGUGAGUGUAUCAAGUUUCACUAGACUGAAAGCUCCCUGAGGACAAGGAUCCUCUUUCAUCUUUUAAUUCGCCACAGCCUUGUGUGUAGAAAGCUCUCAAAACUACACAUAUGAACACCUUUGUCUUUACUAUCGUGCAUUAGAUUGCUAAAUUCGUGUUCACACCUCUGACUUAAUCUUAGAUUUAGAAUUUCCUACGGACUUUGUCUUAAUUGAAACCCAACAGGGGCUCCAGGGAUCUCUUCUUAGUGGUCAUUUGCAAUAUGGGGAACUAGUAGUAUUUCUCAAGAUGGGGUUGAGAAUUCCGUGAAAAAUCCAGGAAGGGGGCACCCGGAUUUGAACCGGGGACCUCUUGAUCUGCAGUCAAAUGCUCUACCCCUGAGCUAUACCCCCUUGACCUGACACUUGUCUUGCUCCUUGUCCACUUAUGGUGACUCAGUGCAAUCAGGUUCCACCCACACUAAUUCUGACAUGUUCUAAAGACUUACCUUCUUUUGUGUCCAUCAUCUGCUUGGGC